ensembl:lncRNA
AGACGCUGAGGGGUAGAGAGGGGGAGAUGCGAAGAUUGAAAGGGAUCUUUGCAAACACAAUCACGUUCUUAAAUGGAAAUGUGGGGCUUUAAACAAAUCUUACAUCUCUCCUGUUCCAGUCGUCUAAAACUCCGCAAUCAGGCACACGUUCGACUCCAUCUAAAACCACAGCUUUUUUUAGAAGAUUUUUUUGGUAUCACUUCUAUUUCAAUUAUUUACCUCACUGUAUUUUUUAGUUCACGUUCGUGUUUGUGUGUUUGUCUUGCUCUUAUGGGGUGUUUCCACAGGCUUUUGCGAGGAAAUGUGCCAUCACAUACGCAGAAUUCAGGCAUCAAACCAAAAGGCUUCUCUGUGACAUGUGUAAUGGGUACCCAUGCUUCCUGAGUAGCCACAAA